ensembl:lncRNA
UGAAGAGGAGGGAGAGAAACAUGCCAUCUAUGCACAAAGAUUUUCUACUCAUUAGGCUUUUUUUUUUUCUGUUCUGAUUCAAUACAAACUCAAGGCCUCCCAGAAGAUUGUGCAGAAAACAAAAAGAUUGAAAGAGGCCUAUUGAGGAGUGAGGGAGGGCCCGAGGGCAGGGCCAGCUGCGUGGGAUAGGGGAGGUGCAGCUCUCUCUGAGUCACAGUGCAGGAUCUUGAGUUUGGUUCUCCCACGUUCCUGAGGAGCUGCCCAAUGAGUAGGAAGUUCCUUGCUCUGCGCUACUGCUACAUCAGAGAUGAACCCACCUUGGCAGAGCAAGAAAUGGGAGAACCUUCUGCUUCGGCAUCAGUUCCCAGGAGAGACCUGGACCUUGGGAGGUGCUGCAGGGGGAGUUAUGACGCCCAGCAUCCCUGUGAUAGGCAUGUAAGUGCAGGUCCAGCAUCGCUGCCUGCUAUGGGUUUCAGGAGGAAUGGAAAGAGCUCAGGAUUUUGCUUUAGACCUAUAUAACAACAACAACAACAGAGAUUUAGAUUGGGUGUAAGAAAAAAGGUUUUUUUUUUUACAGUAAUGGUG